GACGAACGCUGGCGGCGUGCCUAAUACAUGCAAGUCGAACGCAGUGGGGACGGGUGAGUAACACGUGGGUAACCUCCCAUCAGAGGGGAUAACACUUGGAAACAGGUGCUAAACCGAUACUGAUGGAUGGACCCGCGGUGCAUUAGCUAGUUGGUGAGGUAACGGCGCACCAAGGCCACGAUGCAUAGCCGGCUGGAGAGGGGGAUCGGCAGCACUGGGACGGAGAAACUGCCCAGCGUCCAACGGUAGGCAGAAGUAGGGAAACUGCGGCGAUGGACGAAAGUCUGACCGAGCAACGCCGCGUGAGUGAAGAAGGUGUUCGGAUCGUAAAACUCUGUUGUUAGAGAAGCGGUAUCGAACCAGAGAGCCACGGCUAACUAGGUGCCAGCAGCCGCGGUAAUAC
rnacentral:rRNA from 1 species